GACGAACGCUGGCGGCGUGCCUAAUACAUGCAAGUAGAACGCUGAAGAGAAGAGCUUGCUCUUCUUGGAUGAGUUGCGAACGGGUGAGUAACGCGUAGGUAACCUGCCUGGUAGCGGGGGAUAACUAUUGGAAACGAUAGCUAAUACCGCAUAAAAUUGAUUAUUGCAUGAUAAUUAAUUGAAAGAUGCAAUUGCAUUACUACCAGAUGGACCUGCGUUGUAUUAGCUAGUUGGUGAGGUAACGGCUCACCAAGGCGACGAUACAUAGCCGACCUGAGAGGGUGAUCGGCCACACUGGGACUGAGACACGGCCCAGACUCCUACGGGAAGCAGCAGUAGGGAAUCUUCGGCAAUGGGGGGAACCCUGACCGAGCAACGCCGCGUGAGUGAAGAAGGUUUUCGGAUCGUAAAGCUCUGUUGUAAGAGAAGAACGGGUGUGAGAGUGGAAAGUUCACACUGGACG
rnacentral:rRNA from 1 species